rfam:Capsaspora owczarzaki ATCC 30864 unplaced genomic scaffold supercont2.6, whole genome shotgun sequence.
AGCGAGAUGGCGCAGUUGGCAGCGCGUUGGGCUCAUAACCCAAAGGUCGGUGGAUCGAAGCCACCUUUCGCUA